rnacentral:rRNA from 1 species
UACGUAGGGUGCAAGCGUUAAUCGGAAUUACUGGGCGUAAAGCGUGCGCAGGCGGUUAUGUAAGACAGGUGUGAAAUCCCCGGGCUUAACCUGGGAACUGCAUUUGUGACUGCACGGCUAGAGUGUGGCAGAGGGGGGUGGAAUUCCGCGUGUAGCAGUGAAAUGCGUAGAGAUGCGGAGGAACACCGAUGGCGAAGGCAGCCCCCCUGGGCUGACACUGACGCUCAGGCACGAAAGCGUGGGGAGCAAACGAGGAUUAGAGUACCCCG